rnacentral:rRNA from 1 species
GAUGAACGCUAGCGGGAGGCCUAACACAUGCAAGCCGAGCGGUAUUGUUUCUUCGGAAAUGAGAGAGCGGCGUACGGGUGCGUAACACGUGUGCAACCUGCCUUUAUCUGGGGGCUAGCCUUUCGAAAGGAAGAUUAAUACUCCAUAAUAUAUUGAACGGCAUCGUUUAAUAUUUAAAGCUCCGGCGGAAAGAGAUGGGCACGCGCAAGAUUAGCUAGUUGGUGAGGUAACGGCGCACCAAGGCGAUGAUCUUUAGGGGGCCUGAGAGGGUGAUCCCACACACUGGUACUGAGACACGGACCAGACUCCUACGGGAGGCAGCAGUGAGGAAUAUUGGUCAAUGGGUGCAAGCCUGAACCAGCCAUCCCGCGUGAAGGACGACUGCCCUAUGGGUUGUAAACUUCUUUUGUAUAGGGAUAAACCUACCCUCGUGAGGGUAGCUGAAGGUACUAUACGAAUAAGCACCGGCUAACUCCGUGCCAGCCGCCGCGGUAA